UCCGGGCAGGCGCGGACCGGGCUGGUGGCGCCGGCGGCUGGGGCUCUCGCCCCGGCUGUGGGGCCGGGAUCUCGCCGAGCCCUGGUCCCUGACGCUGACGCAGAAUGGACGACAGCCCCGGGCUCGACAGUGGAGUCCCGACUCUGGGCGGCGACCCGGACCGCGGCCUUCCGCCCACCUUCUCGGCGCCCCCUGCCGGCGGAAGCGGGUGUUCCCGCGUUCAGAAGGGAAGCAACCCUCUGCAACUCCGGAUUAUAAAACUCCAGUCUGGUCUCAAAUAUGUGCACUUCAGACGAGAAGUGCACGCUUGAAAACACCCCAGUCUUCACACGCUAUGAUGGGAGUGAGAGCCUCACCUGAAUUUUCCUCUCAGCUAAAGACGAAUUUAACACCUUGAAGACCUUACCUGUGCGUUUUACUGUACUCCUGAAUAGUUGUGGGACAGCUCGCUCGCGCUUGCGCUCUCUGUUUCUUUCUCUCUGCCUCCCCACCCCUUUAUAAUGAGAAUAAACUGAUUUUUGAAACUGUC